rnacentral:rRNA from 1 species
ACGAGGGGUGCAAGCGUUGCUCGGAAUUAUUGGGCGUAAAGGGUAGGUAGGUGGUCUCAUUUGUCUGGGGUGAAAUCCUUGAGCUUAACUCAAGAAGUGCCUUAGAAACGGUGAGACUAGAGUACUGGAGAGGGUCGUGGAAUUCCCGGUGUAGCGGUGAAAUGCGUAGAGAUCGGGAGGAACACCAGCGGCGAAAGCGGCUCACUGGACCAUAACUGACGCUGAGGCGCGAAAGCUAGGGGAGCAAACAGGA